UACGGGGGGGGCAAGCGUUGUUCGGAAUUACUGGGCGUAAAGGGCUCGUAGGCGGCCAACUAAGCCAGACGUGAAAUCCCCAGGCUCAACCUGGGAACUGCGUCUGAUACUGGUUGGCUUGAAUCCGGGAGAGGGAUGCAGAAUUCCAGGUGUAGCGGUGAAAUGCGUAGAUAUCUGGAGGAAUACCGGUGGCGAAGGCGGCAUCCUGGACCGGCAUUGACGCUGAGGAGCGAAAGCUAGGGGAGCAAACGGGG
rnacentral:rRNA from 1 species